CGCUGCGGUAGAUGGCGACCGGCGCACGGGUGCGUAACGCGUAUGGAACCUGCCUUUUACAGGGGAAUAGCCCAGAGAAAUUUGGAUUAAUGCCCCAUGGUUCUGCGGGGGCGCAUGUUCCCGCAGAUAAAGUUUCGGCGGUAAAAGAUGGCCAUGCGUGGCAUUAGGUAGUUGGUGGGGCAACGGCCCACCAAGCCUGCGAUGCCUAGGGGUUCUGAGAGGAAGGCCCCCCACACUGGUACUGAGACACGGACCAGACUCCUACGGGAGGCAGCAGUGAGGAAUAUUGGUCAAUGGGCGUAAGCCUGAACCAGCCAUGUCGCGUGGAGGAAGACUGCCCUAUGGGUUGUAAACUCCUUUUGUGCGGGAAUAACCUUGCCUACGUGUAGGCAGUUGAAUGUACCGUACGAAUAAGCAUCGGCUAACUCCGUGCCAGCAGCCGCGGUAAUACGGAGGAUGCGAGCGUUAUCCGGAUUUAUUGGGUUUAAAGGGUGCGUAGGCGGACAAUUAAGUCAGUGGUGAAAUCCUGCGGCUCAACCGUAGAACUGCCUUUGAUACUGGUUGUCUUGAAUUUAGUUGAGGUGGGCGGAAUGUGUCGUGUAGCGGUGAAAUGCAUAGAUAUGACACAGAACACCGAUUGCGAAGGCAGCCCUCCAAGCUACAAUUGACGCUGAUGCACGAAAGCGUGGGUAGCGAACAGGAUUAGAUACCCUGGUAGUCCACGCCGUAAACGAUGAUCACCCGUUGUUGGCGACACACAGUCAGCGACCUAGCGAAAGCAUUAAGUGAUCCACCUGGGGAGUACGUCGGCAACGAUGAAACUCAAAGGAAUUGACGGGGGCCCGCACAAGCGGAGGAACAUGUGGUUUAAUUCGAUGAUACGCGAGGAACCUUACCUGGACUUAAAUGUGGGCUGCAUGGGCCAGAGAUGGCCCUUUCUUCGGACCGCCCACAAGUGCUGCAUGGUUGUCGUCAGCUCGUGCCGUGAGGUGCCGGGUUAAGUCCCAUACGAGCGCAACCCCUGUCGUAGUUACAGCACGUGA
rnacentral:rRNA from 1 species